AGCCUCCCAAUGCUUACCACAGACUAUGUUCUUUACACUGAUUGUAUAGAAAGAGGAGGUAUAAUAAGUGCACCCCAUAUACACCUCAGCCCAGGACCUUUACCUGGUCUGUAUUGUGAAUGGGGGGACACGG